UCUUGCUGUAGGGUUUCCGCGAUGAUAGUUCACGGAAUGUUAUUGAAAGUGAGAGACGUGGAAAAAAUAAUAAAACCCACAGACCGCAGUUGCCACUGUGUAUGCUGGCUGAAUUUAUGACUGUCUUUUCUUCUCUCCUCUCAUUACCUGCAAUCGGUUCUCGCCAACCCUUUAGAGCCCCCAGCAGAAGGGGCUCCCCGAGCUUGCUUUGUCUUCUGGGCUUCAGGACGGGAGUGUGAGAACUGCAGAAGACGCGCCAGUCCUGACUUCGUUGCAUUGCCACGGCCAGUAUCCUCCUUUUUGGGGUGGCAUUCGCACUACUAGAUCAGGACGUGAAGUAACCAGUUGAAUAAUCCUGAGCCUGUGGUCUCUGUCUGAGGGAUGAGAGCGGAAAAGUUCUAGAAGUAAGAACAAUCACAUUAUAGAAAAGUCAGCAGCCGCGAUGGCCAGUCACCUUGCCUCCCAUCUCUGGCCUCUUGGGGGACAGAAGAGUGUGG